GAUGAACGCUAGCUACAGGCUUAACACAUGCAAGUCGAGGGGAAACGACAUCGAAAGCUUGCUUUUGAUGGGCGUCGACCGGCGCACGGGUGAGUAACGCGUAUCCAAACUGCCCACCACUUGGGGAUAACCUUGCGAAAGUAAGACUAAUACCCAAUGAUAUCCCUAGAAGACAUCUGAAAGAGAUUAAAGAUUUAUCGGUGAUGGAUGGGGAUGCGUCUGAUUAGCUUGUUGGCGGGGUAACGGCCCACCAAGGCGACGAUCAGUAGGGGUUCUGAGAGGAAGGUCCCCCACAUUGGAACUGAGACACGGUCCAAACUCCUACGGGAGGCAGCAGUGGGGAAUAUUGGUCAAUGGGCGAGAGCCUGAACCAGCCAAGUAGCGUGCAGGAUGACGGCCCUAUGGGUUGUAAACUGCUUUUAUAAGGGAAUAAAGUGAGCAUCGUGAGGCUUUUUGCAUGUACCUUAUGAAUAAGGACCGGCUAAUUCCGUGCCAGCCGCCGCGGUAA
rnacentral:rRNA from 1 species